UAUUUAUCAUUCUCUUGUUUCAUUUUGAUAUGUUAUUUUGCAGUUGAGUUAAACAUUAUUGAUUAAUAUUUAUCAUUCUUUUGUUUUUCAUUGGAUAUAUUUUAGUGUUCACAAGUUAAGGAAGCUUUUGUCUGACAAGGAUGCAUACCAUCAAUUUUUACUUUCGCUCGAUGAAGUUAAAAUUCAAAAUAAUGUAUGUACAUAAGCUUUUUCUCUUAGUUGGGAAUCUGUCUGUAGUACUUAAGUGCAUAAAGUGCAUGCAUCAACCCCUUUUUAAAAUGCUUGUUAGUGAAUAUUGGGUAUUGUGCUAAUACAAUGACUUUUGUGCUUGAUUUAUAUGGUUUAUUAAUGAGCAUGGUGGUUUAUGCCUUCCCAAUAUAUAGUAGUUUCGCUAUUGUGAUACUUGAGUCUAUGUUCUGAUUAUUUUUCCUAGAUAUUUUUUUGCAACUUGACAAUUAUCAGCUUAGAGAUGAAAUUCGCAAAAAAAGACUGCAGCUAGGGAGUUAUUCUUUUCUUGUUAUCUACUAGUUUUUGCUAUAUUAGUCAUGCACAAUUGGAUUAUGCAUGGAGAUAUCUACUAGAUUUUUUUUUAAUUAUAUAUAUAUAUAUAUAUAUCAGUCGAGCACAAUUGAAUUAUGCAUGGAGAAACAGAUCCUGAAUUUAUUUACACUCACAGGGAAACUUGGAAAAGGAACCGCACAUUAUGGAGCUUAGAAUCAAGUAAUAUUUAUCUUGCUUUCUUUAGGUGGUGUCGAAAUUAUUGUAUUGACUGUGAAACAUUUUCUCCUGUUUGUAUGGUACAUGGUGCAGAAUUAUGAGAACAACAGAGUUGGCUGCUGCAGAGGAGAAGUUACAUGAGCUUGACAGACAAAAGGAAGAAAUGUUGAGGUUCGGUUCCCCUGCUUCCCUUUUCCAAAGGCUUCAAGAUGCAAUGAACAUGACAGAUGAGAAAUCUGAAAAUCUACACAAGCAGCUUUUUGUGCAGAUAUACAAGAAGCUUCGAACCACUUAAGUGAGCAUUCAUUCAUCUUGCAGCUAAAACAAAUUCACUAAGUUGAAUUGAUAUUAUAGAAAGAUAUAUACUUGGAACACAUUGAAAUCUUACUUCUAGUUUCAAUGCAUUGGCUAGAUAAACGUGAUUGUCUGUGUAUUAUUUGGUUAAAUAUUUUCUCUUUGCUAGUAUAUCAGUUUUGACAGCA